rnacentral:lncRNA from 1 species
AAAGAAAGUAAAUCAUGAUUAGUUAUUUAAACAUAAAAAAAAUGUUACGUGUCGCUUAGAGGCUUAGAGCUAAAUAACACUCCUAUGCUGUUUUUUUUUUUUUUUUUUUUUUAAAGCAGAAGGUCAUUUAUCUCCACUGCUGGCAUUAAGGUGUCAUUAAUAUUGAAAAGCCCAAUAUCAAUAAUAAAAACGUCUUCAGCACUGAGGCCUGGAUUGUGUGGAAGCAUUGGAUUUCUGCAAUUAAAAGAUCAUGUAAGGGAAAAACCGAAGCAGAACUCUGCAGCAUCACUGGAGGAGAACACAGGAUACAUGUGGGAGACAGAUCAGACGCUUCGAUGAUUCAAAUCCUGAUGACAUGAUAAGCAUACUUCUGACCUCAGUCCGUCACCAUGGUUUUCACUCCUGGUAAAUUCAUUUGUUUCAUCAGGAGAAUGCAGCCUUUCUAAGAUGCACUAUGAAAUUGAACACAGAAGGAGGUUUAGAAGAGACAAGCAACAGGGACAAACAAGCCAUUACAGGGCAGGAGCCCAUUGUCAGUUUCCAGAACUAUAAGAAAAUACAAGGGUUUCCUCUGGUGAUCAAAGCCACCCUGGUCAUGCGUGCAGCAGGUCAGAAGUGUCAGAGAUUCAGCUCUAGCAACCGUGGUCAUGAUGUGCUGUGUCAGCCCUUAUGGAUUUACCACUGAAGCUGGGAGAAGAGCACAUGAAGACAAGCCGAGGGGCAGAGAUUUAUCAAAGGGCUCCCUGCCUUUCUGGCAGAUGUGCUGCAGUGGCCCGCACUGAGACUCUCC